rnacentral:tRNA from 1 species
GGGGGUUAUUCAGUGGUAGAGUGCAUGCCUAGCAUGCAUGAGGUCCUGGGUUCAAUCCCCAGUACCGCCA